UAAGCUACGAAGAGUACAUGGCGGAUGCCUAGGCGUUCAGCGCCGACGAAGGACGUGGCUAAGCUGCGAUAAGCUUCGGUGAGCCGCUAAGCAGGCUUUGACCCGGAGAUGUCCGAGAUCGGGAAACCGACCAGAGCUAGUCCUCUGGUGUCGCGUAAGCGACGGGAACGCAGGGAACUGAAACAUCUAAGUACCUGCAGGAAAGGAAAGAAACCUCGACUCCCUCAGUAGCGGCGAGCGAACGGGGAAGAGCCUAAACCGAUGAAGUGUCAAGAGUGCGAUCGUUGCUUCAUCGGGGUCGUGGGAUUCACAGGGCGAGCGCAACAGCCCAAGAGAGUUACAAAGUUAUUCGUUAGGAGAACGGCAUGGGAAGGCCGGCCGCAGAGGGUGACAGCCCCGUAACCGAAAACGAAUAGCCUCUCGUGAAGAUCCCGAGUAGCGCCAGACACGUGAAACCUGGUGUGAAUCAGCGGGGACCACCCCGUAAGGCUAAGUACGUCUGAACGACCGAUAGCGCAAUAGUAGCGUGAGCGAAAGGUGAAAAGUACCCCUGUUAGGGGAGUGAAAUAGUACCUGAAACCAUGUACUUACAAGCGGUCGAAGGCCUAUGGCCCCUCGGGGCAAUGGCUGACGGCGUGCCUUUUGCAUAAUGAUCCGGCGAGUUACUCUGUUCGGCAAGGUUAAGGGCCUCAGGUCCGGAGCCGAAGGGAAACCGAGUGUGAAUAGCGCGACAUGAGUCGAGCGGAGUAGACCCGAAAGCGAGUGAUCUAUCCAUGGGCAGGCUGAAGCGGAUGUAACAGUCCGUGGAGGGCCGAACGGGUAUAGGUUGAAAACUGUUCCGAUGACCUGUGGAUUGGAGUGAAAGGCUAAUCAAACUCGCAGAUAGCUGGUUCUCCCCGAAAUAGCUUUCGGGCUAGCCUCUGGUAAUAGUCAAUGGGGGUAGAGCUACUGAAUGGGAUAGGGGCCUUUCGAGGUACCCUACUCAAUCAAACUCCGAAUACCAUUGACCGUAUCCAGGGAGUCAGUCUAUGGGCGAUAAGGUCCGUGGACGAGAGGGAAACAACCCAGACCACCGGCUAAGGUCCCCAAUGAGUGCUAAGUGUAGUAAAGGAAGUGAAGUCUCGAAGACAUCCAGGAUGUUGGCUUAGAAGCAGCCAUCAUUUAAAGAGUGCGUAAUAGCUCACUGGUCGAGAGGCUUUGCGCCGAAAAUGAACGGGACUCAAGCACUCAACCGAAGCCGUGGCUUGUGUGAAGACGUGUGCUUCAUGCAGGGGUAGGGGAGCGUUCCGCAUGAGUGAAGGGUGACGGUAACGACACCUGGACGUGCAGGAAGUGAUUAUGCCGGAAUAAGUAGCGAUAAAGCAGGUGAGAAUCCUGCUCGCCGUAAACCCAAGGGUUCCUGGGCACGGUAAAUCCGCCCAGGGUUAGUCGGACCCUAAGGCGAGGCCGAAAGGCGUAGCCGAUGGAUUACAGGUUAAUAUUCCUGUACCACCAGAUCGCGUUUGACCAAUGGGGUGACGCGGGAGGAAAAGUAAUCGCACUGUCAGACAUGUGCGUGUAAGCCCGAGGGUGGCAUGUAGGCAAAUCCGCAUGCGGAAUCCCAGAGGUGAUGCCGAGCUCAUAAGAGCGAAGUUACUGGACUGACCGCCAAGAAAAACCUCUAGGGAGUGACUCUGGUGUCCGUACCAAAACCGACACAGGUGGGUGGGGUGAGAAUCCUAAGGCGCUCGAGAGAACUGCUGUCAAGGAACUCGGCAAAAUUAACCCGUAACUUAGGGAUAAGGGUUGCCCCCCGGCGUGUAGUCCUUCGCGGAUGAAGCGCUAGGGGGCCGCAGAGAAAUGGUCCUGGCAACUGUUUACUAAAAACACAGGUCUGUGCUAAGUCUUAAAGACGCUGUAUACAGACUGACGCCUGCCCAAUGCCGGUAGGUUAAGAGGAGGGGUUAGCUUCGGCGAAGCUCUGAAUCGAAGCCCCGGUGAAUGGCGGCCGUAACUAUGACGGUCCUAAGGUAGCGAAGUUCCUUGUCGGGUAAGUUCCGACCCGCACGAAAGGCGUAAUGACUGGGACACUGUCUCGACAGCAGACUCGGCGAAAUUGUAGCCGUGGUGAAGAUGCCACGUUCCCGCGCCAAGACGGAAAGACCCCGUGAACCUUUACUGCAGCCUGAUAUUGGGGCUUGUCAUGUAGUGCGUAGCAUAGGUGGGAGACGUUGAAGCUGGGCUCUUGGGCCUGGUGGAGUCAUUAGUGAAAUACCACUCUCUGCAUGAUAGGUCUCUAACGCGAUACCAUGAAUCUGGGUCGCGAACAGUGUCAGGUGGGUAGUUUGGCUGGGGCGGUCUCCUCCGAAAGAGUAACGGAGGAGCGCGAUGGUACACUCAGCGUGGUUAGCAAUCACGCAAAGAGCGCAAGGGUAUAAGUGUGCCUGACUGCAAGAGAUAUACCUCGAGCAGAUACGAAAGUAGGUCCUAGUGAUCCGGCGGAUUCCGAGUGGAAGGGCCGUCGCUCAUCAGAUAAAAGGUACUCCGGGGAUAACAGGCUGAUCUCCCCCAAGAGUUCAUAUCGACGGGGAGGUUUGGCACCUCGAUGUCGGCUCGUCGCAUCCUGGGGCUGAAGGCGGUCCCAAGGGUUUGGCUGUUCGCCAAUUAAAGCGGCACGUGAGCUGGGUUUAGACCGUCGUGAGACAGGUCGGUCCCUAUCUGGCGUGGGUGUAGGAUGACUGAGGAGGUUUGCCCCUAGUACGAGAGGAUUGGGGUGGACGACCCUCUGGUGCGCCAGUUAUCACGCUAGUGGUACAGCUGGGUAGCUACGGUCGGAACGGAUAAGCGCUGAAUGCAUCUAAGCGCGAAGCCCUCUCCAAGACGAGUCAUCCCUAUCAGUCCCCUGGGAGACUACCAGGUUGAUAGGCCGGCGGUGUAAGCACGGUGACGUGUUGAGCUUACCGGUACUAAUCGGACGAUCGGCUUAUC
rnacentral:rRNA from 2 species